AGACUAAAGGCCGGGUUCUAGAGGCCAGGAAGUCCAAACUCAAGGUGGUGGCAGAUGGCAUAUUUGGUGUCUGGCUCAGAAGGAAGAAGUUCUGUGACUGAUUAGCAAUGUCUAUCAUGGGUGCAGAAUGGAAUUUCCCACGUCCUACUUUGCAGUGUAACCCAGCGGGUGUCGUUCUGGUUUGUGGUUACCGAUCCUUCAAGAAAUCACACCCUUCCCGCCGUUGAGGUACAGUCAGCCAUCAGAAUGAAUCGAAACCGGAUCAACAAUGCCUUCUUUUUGAAUGACCAGACUCUGGAAUUUUUAAGAAUUCCUUCCACUCUUGCACCACCUACUGACCCGUCUGUGCCCAUCUGGAUUAUUAUAUUUGGUGUGAUAUUCUGCAUCGUCCUUGUGGCGACCAUGCUAUUGAUUUUAUCAGGAAUCCGGCAACAUAGAAGGUAAGA